CGCCGGCGUCGAAGCAUCCGUGGUCGUGAGACCGGCGGAUGUGAGAGGGAACCCGGUGGAAAUCCGGGACUGUCCCGCAGCGGUGAGUGGGAACGACCGCCGUCAUGAGCACUGGACCGACAGGUCCGGGAAGCGACGGCCAGUAGGUUUCGCCGGGUCGAUUCCCGGCCGAGCGCCCACGAGUCCGAAGACCUGCCGACUGUGUCGGGCACGC
rnacentral:ncRNA from 2 species